rnacentral:rRNA from 1 species
UGGGGAAUAUUGCACAAUGGGCGCAAGCCUGAUGCAGCAACGCCGCGUGAACGAUGAAGGUCUUCGGAUCGUAAAGUUCUGUUGCAGGGGAAGAUAAUGACGGUACCCUGUGAGGAAGCCCCGGCUAACUACGUGCCAGCAGCCGCGGUAAUACGUAGGGGGCUAGCGUUAUCCGGAUUCAUUGGGCGUAAAGCGCGCGCAGGCGGCUCUUCAAGCGGAACCUCUAACCCCGGGGCUCAACCUCGGGCCGGGUUCCGAACUGGAGGGCUCGAGUGCGGUAGAGGCAGGCGGAAUUCCCGGUGUAGCGGUGGAAUGCGCAGAUAUCGGGAAGAACACCGAUGGCGAAGGCAGCCUGCUGGGCCGGCACUGACGCUGAGGCGCGAAAGCUAGGGGAGCGAACAGG